GACGAACGCUGGCGGCGUGCUUAACACAUGCAAGUCGAACGAAGAGCGAUGGAAGCUUGCUUCUAUCAAUCUUAGUGGCGAACGGGUGAGUAACGCGUAAUCAACCUGCCCUUCAGAGGGGGACAACAGUUGGAAACGACUGCUAAUACCGCAUACGAUCUAAUCUCGGCAUCGAGGAUAGAUGAAAGGUGGCCUCUACAUGUAAGCUAUCACUGAAGGAGGGGAUUGCGUCUGAUUAGCUAGUUGGAGGGGUAACGGCCCACCAAGGCGAUGAUCAGUAGCCGGUCUGAGAGGAUGAACGGCCACAUUGGGACUGAGACACGGCCCAGACUCCUACGGGAGGCAGCAGUGGGGAAGCUUCCGCAAUGGACGAAAGUCUGACGGAGCAACGCCGCGUGAGUGAUGACGGCCUUCGGGUUGUAAAGCUCUGUUAAUCGGGACGAAAGGCCUUCUUGCGAACAGUUAGAAGGAUUGACGGUACCGGAAUAGAAAGCCACGGCUAACUACGUG
rnacentral:rRNA from 1 species